ACCCCUGCCUGCUAAAUAGUUGGGCGAAUGAAUGUUCAUUGGCUACAGCUUCUUAGAGGGACGUGCGUUCUAUUAGACGCAGGAAGAUAGGGGCAAUAACAGGUCUGUGAUGCCCUUAGAUGUCCUGGGCCGCACGCGCGUUACACUGAUGCACUCAACGAGUCUACCUUGGCCGAGAGGCCUGGGAAAUCUUGUUAACAUGCAUCGUGAUAGGGAUAGAUUAUUGCAAUUAUUAAUCUUGAACGAGGAAUUCCUAGUAAACGCAGAUCAUCAAUCUGCAUUGAUUACGUCCCUGCCCUUUGUACACACCGCCCGUCGCACCUACCGAUUGAAUGGUCCGGUGAAGCCUCGGGAUUGCGAUGAGUUUCCUUCAUUGGGAGUUCGUCGCGAGAACCUGUCUAAACCUUAUCAUUUAGAGGAAGGUGAAGUCGUAACAAGGUUUCC
rnacentral:rRNA from 1 species